ensembl:lncRNA
UUCCUCUAAAACAGUGGCUCUGGAUGUGCAGUAUGUUUCUUAGGGCUUGCCACUGAGAGCAGCGACCUUUUCCUGAAGCAGCUUUUCAUAAACACCCAUGGUUACUUUGUGACACAGUGAUGCCUACAUCUAAGCAACAUGACUCCAAGAACUGGGGAAGAGGAAGGUGCAGUUCAGUAAUAUGGGUGGUACAACAGCCCUGCCUGGUCAUCUGGUGGGAAUGGAGUUCAGAGAGAACGCCAUUGAAUCCUGAGUGUCCUGGUCAAGUUAAGCUGCUCUGAAACACUACAUAUCCUUACAGCACUUCAAGAUGCAGAAGUUACUACCUGGCUUCAUGAGGCCCUGAAAUCUGAUGAGCUGCUUUUACUCAGAGGGCACCAAGCACCGUGGUGCUCACCUUCCUGCUGUGUGUAGUUGUCUUUGUGGAGAAGCUAAGCAGACAGAAAAGACGCGUGAGUGACAAGCACGUCUCAGCCAUGUCUUAGAUGGAGUCUUAGAUGGAGUAUGGAAGUACACUCACUCUUAUUUACCCCAGACUAGCAUUACUCACAUUGUUCUCAACAGUGAAAAGCUUCAAACCCUGCUUAGGCCUGUGUUUCCUGAAAAUUGUUUCCAGAAGGGCAGGGCUGUUAGCAGGUGUGUGCGUGAAAGUCAGACGUCUCCAGCAACACCGAGAUCUGGCACUAACUAGUAUUUAGAAAGUAACCAUAGUAAUGGUGUUUGCAUAAGAGAGGACAGAAAUGCACAGAGAGGAGGAAGCGACAGACAAAAAUACCUUUUGCAACCUCACGUCCUCUUGUGGAAAUCCCCCACCUAUGUGGAGCAUUUGUAAUGAAAAGCUGGCACUCGUUGCCCGUUUACUCAAGCUCACAGGCACUGAAGUCAUAGGGCAGGCUUUUUUUUUAUUUCACAUUUUGAUUCGAGCCAGUGCCAGAGAACACCCAUCCGUUUGGAAAGAACCUGAAUGCGUCAGCAGGUAUGGGCAGGGUAUCCACAGUCUUGUUUUCAUGCUGUCAGAGUCUACUGCUAGUUCCACAAAACGACAGGUGGGAGGAUGCACGCCACAUGCGCACACGCACGUGCAGCUGCAUUGUGGAGGCACACUGCAGCACUGACAUUCAGGGAGCGGGAGAAGAGCCAGCAUGAAAAGAAACAGCACCACACUAAUUUCUUCUCUUUUAAUUAACAUUUGGCGAGUUUGGAGAGAAGCCCAGGCUGCAAAAUUUGGAUGCAGAAUUCAAAGAGCUCCGAAACUGGAAAUGUUCGCAUACAGGCUCCUUAUUUUUGCCUCGUCCUGUUUAUAGGUCAUGCAGAGACUACUUAAUUGCUCGUACUGUAACUCACAAUUAGUGACAGUUCUUCACUGUAUGUCAGCGUGCAGCAGAGCUACGCUCUGAAAACGCGUGGCAAUGUUUAAUAGCAAGUGGAUAUUUACUUCUCUUUUCAAGGAUUUUUCCCUGAGACCCCUCUAUUUCAUGAGGAGCAAAGGCUGUUAAUGUCAUCAGCAGAAGGAAACGGUGAUACUUUAAUCAGAUCUGAGAGUUGUUUGUAAAAGGAAGUAGUUUCUCAAAUUCAUGUGAACUUCAACUUCCCUGCACAGCUCUCAUCGACACAAGUUCAAGGAACUACCUCAUGUCUCAUUACUGAUGUACAGAAUUCUUGGCAUAGGAUUGAAUAGCCACUAUUAAACGCUUGCAAUGUG